UACGAAGGGUGCAAGCGUUACUCGGAAUUACUGGGCGUAAAGCGUGCGUAGGCGGUUUGUUAAGUCCGCUGUGAAAGCCCUGGGCUCAACCUGGGAAUUGCAGUGGAUACUGGCAAGCUAGAGUGCGGUAGAGGAUGGUGGAAUUCCCGGUGUAGCGGUGAAAUGCGUAGAGAUCGGGAGGAACACCAGUGGCGAAGGCGGCUUGCUGGGCCGGACCUGACGCUGAGGCGCGAAGGCGUGGGGAGCGAACGGG
rnacentral:rRNA from 1 species